GCAGAGGUUGCCGAGUGGUCAAAGGCGCCAGAUUCAGGGUCUGGUCACUUAGUGUGUUCAGGAGUCCAAAUCUCCUCCUCUGCA
rnacentral:tRNA from 1 species